rnacentral:rRNA from 1 species
UACGGAGGGGGCUAGCGUUGUUCGGAAUUAUUGGGCGUAAAGCGCGCGCAGGCGGUCCUUUAAGUCUGAUGUGAAAGCCCACGGCUCAACCGUGGAGGGUCAUUGGAAACUGGGGGACUUGAGUGCAGGAGAGAAGAGUGGAAUUCCACGUGUAGCGGUGGAAAUGCGUAGAUAUCGGGAGGAACACCAGUGGCGAAGGCGACUUCCUGGCCUGUUCGUUGACGCUGAGGCGCGAAAGCUAGGGGAGCAAACGGG